AAAAACCAUAAGUUCAUGUGCUUCUUUUAUAUCCAUUACUUUUAUAUAUCUCAAAUUCUUAUUCCCACAUCAAAUUUAUACUAAACUUCAACCCUUUACAAUCUAAAUAAAAUGGUCAACUCUCAUUCCCACAUCUAAUUCAUACUAAAUUUCAAUCAUUUACAAGCUAAAUAAAUAGUUCAACAUUGUGUACAUUUUAUAAACUUCAAACCAACA
rnacentral:lncRNA from 1 species